GCGAAGAACCUUACCAAGGCUUGACAUAUACGAGAACGGGCCAGAAAUGGUCAACUCUUUGGACACUCGUAAACAGGUGGUGCAUGGUUGUCGUCAGCUCGUGUCGUGAGAUGUUGGGUUAAGUCCCGCAACGAGCGCAACCCUCGUUCUAUGUUGCCAGCACGUAAUGGUGGGAACUCAUGGGAUACUGCCGGGGUCAACUCGGAGGAA
rnacentral:rRNA from 1 species